AGGACGAACGCUGGCGGCGUGCUUAACACAUGCAAGUCGAGCGGAAAGGCCCUUCGGGGUACUCGAGCGGCGAACGGGUGAGUAACACGUGAGUAAUCUGCCCCUAGCUCUGGGAUAGCUCCGGGAAAACCGGGAUUAAUACCAGAUACGACCACUUUAGACAUCUUCUGUGGUGGAAAGAACUUCGGCUAGGGAUGAACUCGCGGCCUAUCAGCUUGUUGGUGAGGUAACGGCUCACCAAGGCGACGACGGGUAGCCGGCCUGAGAGGGCGACCGGCCACACUGGGACUGAGACACGGCCCAGACUCCUACGGGAGGCAGCAGUGGGGAAUAUUGCGCAAUGGGCGAAAGCCUGACGCAGCGACGCCGCGUGGGGGAUGAAGGCCUUCGGGUUGUAACCCUUUCAGCAGGACGAAGCGAAGUGACGGUACCUGCAGAAGAAGCGCCGGCUAACUACGCGCCAGCAGCCGC
rnacentral:rRNA from 1 species